rnacentral:rRNA from 1 species
UACGUAGGGUGCGAGCGUUAAUCGGAAUUACUGGGCGUAAAGCGUGCGCAGGCGGCUUUGCAAGACAGAUGUGAAAUCCCCGGGCUUAACCUGGGAACUGCAUUUGUGACUGCAAGGCUAGAGUGCGGCAGAGGGGGAUGGAAUUCCGCGUGUAGCAGUGAAAUGCGUAGAUAUGCGGAGGAACACCGAUGGCGAAGGCAAUCCCCUGGGCCUGCACUGACGCUCAUGCACGAAAGCGUGGGGAGCAAACAGG